UUGGAAACGAUAGCUAAUACCGCAUAACAGUAUUUAUCGCAUGGUAAAUGCUUGAAAGGAGCAACUGCUUCACUAUGAGAUGGACCUGCGUUGUAUUAGCUAGUUGGUGGGGUAACGGCUCACCAAGGCAUCGAUACAUAGCCGACCUGAGAGGGUGAUCGGCCACAUUGGGACUGAGACACGGCCCAAACUCCUACGGGAGGCAGCAGUAGGGAAUCUUCGGCAAUGGACGAAAGUCUGACCGAGCAACGCCGCGUGAGUGAAGAAGGUUUUCGGAUCGUAAAACUCUGUUGUUAGAGAAGAACGUUGUGUAGAGUGGAAAAUUACACAAGUGACGGUAUCUAACCAGGAAGGGACGGCUAACUACGUGCCAGCAGCCGCGGUAAUACGUAGGUCCCGAGCGUUGUCCGGAUUUAUUGGGCGUAAAGCGAGCGCAGGUGGUUUAAUAAGUCUGAUGUAAAAGGCAGUGGCUCAACCAUUGUGUGCAUUGGAAACUGUUAGACUUGAGUGCAGUAGAGGAGAGUGGAAUUCCAUGUGUAGCGGUGAAAUGCGUAGAUAUAUGGAGGAACACCGGUGGCGAAAGCGGCUCUCUGGACUGUCACUGACACUGAGGCUCGAAAGCGUGGGUAGCAAACG
rnacentral:rRNA from 1 species